GACGAACGCUGGCGGCGUGCUUAACACAUGCAAGUCGAACGGAAAGGCCCUGCUUUUGUGGGGUGCUCGAGUGGCGAACGGGUGAGUAACACGUGAGUAACCUGCCCUUGACUUUGGGAUAACUUCAGGAAACUGGGGCUAAUACCGGAUAGGAGCUCCUGCUGCAUGGUGGGGGUUGGAAAGUUUCGGCGGUUGGGGAUGGACUCGCGGCUUAUCAGCUUGUUGGUGGGGUAGUGGCUUACCAAGGCUUUGACGGGUAGCCGGCCUGAGAGGGUGACCGGCCACAUUGGGACUGAGAUACGGCCCAGACUCCUACGGGAGGCAGCAGUGGGGAAUAUUGCACAAUGGGCGGAAGCCUGAUGCAGCAACGCCGCGCGCGGGAUGACGGCCUUCGGGUUGUAAACCGCUUCCGCCUGUGACGAAGCGUGAGUGACGGUAAUGGGUAAAGAAGCACCGGCUAACUACGUG
rnacentral:rRNA from 1 species